rnacentral:rRNA from 1 species
AGAGUUUGAUCCUGGCUCAGGAUUAACGCUGGCGGCGUGCAUGAGACAUGCAAGUCGAACGGACGAGUGGGCUUGCUCACUCGUUAGUGGCGGACGGCUGAGUAACGCGUAGGUGACCUGCCCCGAAGUGGGGAGUAACUGCCCGAAAGGGUGGCUAAUACCGCAUGUGGUGCCACGUUCAUUCGUGUCUCCAAAGCCGCAAGGCGCUUCGGGAGGGGCCUGCGUCCGAUUAGCUCGUUGGUGGGGUAACGGCUCACCAAGGCGACGAUCGGUAGGUGGUCUGAGAGGACGAUCACCCAGACUGGGACUGAGACACGGCCCAGACUCCUACGGGAGGCAGCAGUCGGGAAUUUUGCUCAAUGGGCGCAAGCCUGAAGCAGCAACGCCGCGUGGGGGAUGACGGCCUUCGGGUUGUAAACCUCUUUUCUUGGGGACGAUUAUGACGGUACCCGAGGAAUAAGUCACGGCUAACUACGUGCCAGCAGCCGCGGUAAUACGUAGGUGACGAGCGUUGUCCGGAUUUACUGGGCGUAAAGAGCGCGCAGGCGGUCGUACAAGUCGAGUGUGAAAUCCCCCGGCUCAACUGGGGAACGUCGCUCGAUACUGUUCGACUUGAAGGCGGGAGAGGGAAGCGGAAUUCCCGGUGUAGUGGUGAAAUGCGUAGAUAUCGGGAGGAACACCAGUGGCGAAGGCGGCUUUCUGGCCCGUUCUUGACGCUGAGGCGCGAAAGCUAGGGUAGCAAACGGGAUUAGAUACCCCGGUAGUCCUAGCCGUAAACGAUGGACACUAGGUGUUGGUGGUAUCAACCCCGCCAGUGCCGAAGCU